rnacentral:lncRNA from 1 species
CAGGAAGGAGGUCCAAAUGAGACAUGGUGGUGCAUGCCUGUAAUCCUAACUACCUGAGAGGUUAAGGCAAGAGGAAUACUCCUGCGUGAAUGCUAUUAACAGGACAGGACAUCUCAUGCUGCAGUGACUCAGUAUCCAUGGGACUGAAGGUACAAGACACAGCCCCUUGAGGCUGAGAAGUGGGAGAGAGCGACUAUGACAGAGCUGAUGAAUCAGCAGAGGGGCUGCACCAGCUUCUUCAUCCCCCCAGACAGGCAGCCUGCUUAUGUAGAAAGGUGUGCAAAUAAAUCCAUGGCAUUGACCACUUGUGCCUCUGUCUUCCAGCUUAAGAGAUUUCCUGGCCACAGCUACCCUUCACCAAGGGGUCAUGUUUAGCAGGACACAACUAGCCAGUCCUCUUUCCUAAAAGCCAUGGUCUGUCAAAUCAGUGCUGUGGAUCUUCAAUGUAGCCAGCUCAAUGGGCACAAGGUGACAAAGGAAAGUGAUGCUGGUGUGUGUACUACGUUGCAUGUGGUGGUCUGGGACCAAAACAAAUAUGAAGCCUGAAUGGGAAACUCAAGUCAUACAGGCCCUUAUGGCCUGGCAAUUUGUUGAAAACAAGAGAAGCACUGAGAGUUUGGCAGUACAUACACACACAUGUGCAUAUAUGUAUAUAUGCUGGUUGGCAGUUUGAAAAGCAUCGAUGUGGCAUGUAGCCCAGUGUGACUAUGUCGUUCUCCUGAGUACAUGCCUCAUCCAGGAUCCCUGCAGGGCCUGGACACCCUUCAGGCACUACCCAGCCAGCCCCAUAGCCUGUGUGACAUGUCCACUGGAGUGGCCACUUUAUUUUAAGUGACUCUUUUUCCAGACUUGAGUCACUCCUACAGCAUCUAUAAAAGGCUGCUGAGGAGUGACUAAAUGCACUUGGGUCCUGGCCAUGUCUAUAUAUUACUGCUUCCACUGCCUCCCCUUCCUUUCUCCCAGGGAGUGGGAGACACAUCUUAAAGUCCACAGUAUCUUCCUAUUCUUUGUCUUCCUCACCUCCACAGAAACUAGCUGCAAAGAUGUAUGGCAGUGGGCCCUUUGCUUUGCACCUGACCUGGCAAACACUUACCUCCUCCUGAUCAUAAAGAGUAGAGGCCCCAUCCCAGCGCCACCUUUCAGAGUCCAGAAGGCACUGGAAGAUCUAUUCAUUGUGAUGAUGGCACAUGAUGUCAUUCCAAGUGGUCUCUCAAAACACAUCCAAAGCCUGACUUUUUACAACUGUUGCCCAAGCAGUAAAAUCAGAAAAACACUCCAAGCCCAAAGUAGAGACCAAGGGCAACAUUAG